UAAUUUCACCAAUCCCUUGUGGAACCUUGCACAUCAAGUAAGCUACAGGUUAGGGGCUAUAUGUAAAUAAGCCAUCUCAAAACUAUCCCUAUCUCCUUCACACCUCAAUCCCUGUUUCUACUCUGUCCAUUCAGCAAUGGAAAUUGCAGUCUCCACUAGUCCCAAUUACAAUCCAGAAAGACACCUCCCCCCUCCAACGAGAGGGCGGAUCAUAAAACAGAUACUCCGAGAGGUUCUCCAAUUUGUUGCCGCCAUCCCGCCUUCACGGGAUCAGAUGGGAGCAGAUCAAGGAGAUAGUGGUGGUUGUCGCGGUAGCUCCACCUCUUCAACUCUUCUUGAACCCUCUACCAAGUACUAGAUACACUUUGAGAUGGGAGUUGACGGAAAGGGAGAAAGGGAGAUAGGGAGACAGGGAGAAAGGGAGAAAGACGAUCGGCUGGUAAACUUCUGAGAAGUUUGUAUUUCCAUUUAUGCAGAAAAAGUUGUAGUAUUUUUGCUUUUGCAUGCUUCGUUUAGAGACUGGAAUGGAUCAGUGGGUAUGAGAUUGAAUGGAUCUUGAUUUCUUGAUUUCUUUUCAAGUGGAAAUGUUGAUCGAUAUGAAGAUCAUAUCACAUACGCCUGUGUCCCUCUUGUAAUUGUGUGUCUGAAAGUCCUCUUGUCUGUCA